GCCCUAUCUUUCGGCUAGAGGUGGGGUCAACAAGUUCCCUCCCCCUACUGUACAGAUUUUUAUAUAGCCCUUCCCCCAUUUGAGUCCUGAGAGUCUCUCACCUUCCAGGUCUCGGUACAUUCUGGAGGGCCCUCCCAACCUCCUUCCUCCUGAGGUUGCCUAUUUACUUUCUUUCUGCUGGCUCUCAUGUCUUCAGUCUUUUUCACCCUCUCAAUACCAUAUCAUGUUUCCCUCUCCAUCCCCAUGUCCCCCUUUUUUCCCAGAUUCUUCCCUCCCUCCUUCCCCCCUUGUGGUUGAUUUUUUUCUCCCUCCCAAGUGUGACUGAGGUAUUCUCACUUGGGCCCUUCUGCUUAUUGAGUUCAUGGACUAUAUAUAUCUUUGUUGUUCUGUACUUGUUUUUUUCUUUUUGUCUAAUAUCCACUUAUUAUUGAGAACAUACAGUGCAUGUCUGUUUGGGUCUGAGUUACCUCACUCAGGAUGAUAUUUUUUAGUUUUAUCUAUUUGCCUGCAAAACUCAGGAUAUCCUCAUUCUUAAUAGCUGAAUAGUAUCCUAUUAUGUAAGUGAACCCUAUUUUGUGUAUUCAUUCUUCUGUCUUUGGACAUCUGGAUUGUUUCCAGCUUAUGGCUAUCAAAAAUAAGGCUGCUCUGAACAUAGUGGAACAUGUCCCCCUGUGACACGGUGGGGCAUCUUUUGGGUAUAUUCUCAAGGAUGGUAUUGCUGGGCCUUUAGGUAGAUCUAUUUCUAAUUUUUCAAGGAAUCUCCAAACUGAUUUCCUAAGUGGUUAUACCAGUUUACAAUCCCACCAGUAAUGAAGGAGUGUUCUUCUUUCUCCACAUCCUCACAGACAUGUGUUAUCACCUGAG
ensembl:lncRNA